GCACACAAUGAGGAGCAAGGGAAUGAUGUGGUCAGACCAAGAACAGACGGUAUGGCCACAGCAGUUACAGGGGAGAGUUCUUCUUUGCCACAUCGGAGGGUCGCUCUGUGGAUGACUGGUUGAAAGAGAAGAGACGACUGGAUCCGAAAUACCAGCAGCCGCGCAGGUGAAGGACAAUACACAACAAUGCACGUGACUCCUUUUAAUCUUUUUUCUAAUUGCAGGACACACCAACUUGACGUGCAGCAUAGUGUCACUUGUAUAUAGUUUGUGUAAUUUUGCUUGUAUAUAUUUUGUGUGUAUUUUGAAGUAUUUUGUUACAAAUUUGUAAUGUACAUAGUUUAAUUUUACUGUUGACAAUGUUCUCAAGCUAAUUCAAUUGAUGUUUUUGUUACAUAAAAAAUCUUUUCAAAGGAUCAGUUCAGUGUUGACAUCUUUUCUUUGUAAUUACAUAAUGUAUAAUUUAUAAAUCUGAUGUGAACCAGGUUAAUGAUGAGGAUCGAACAUGAUCGUAUUGAUCCAUCAUGCCACAUCUAGUGAGAGAGUAGAACAUUUGGUCAGAUCUGUGUGUCCCUCACUGACAGCUGUGUGACAGCUGUCAGACACUCGCCCAAUCACCAGCUCCCGAUCACUUCACCUUGACACUCGCCCAAUCACCAGCUCCCGAUCACUUCACCUUUAUUCCAGGGAGACGAUCGUUCAGGGUAAAAGGCCCAUCUCCUGCCGACGGCCCCAGGUGGUCUAGGCGGCUCACAAUACACAUUGUAUAUCCUGUAGGUGUGACUCUGUGGGGGGCAGGUAGGAGCCCCAUAAAGGCUGCCUGGAUGAGGCUGUUGGUCUCGUCAAGGUCUAGUCUCAGGCUGCAACAACUUUGGGGAAGUCCACAAAAAAGAAAUGGAAAACUUUGGAAGAACAGCACCUUUGAUAAAACACAUAGAGAGAAAAAGGAGCCAGGAGUAUACAGAAGGUUUGUAUUUUUUUACUGCACUCAAUAUUAACUUGUAUUUUUCAUUACAUUACAGCAAUUCAUCCUCCUCACCCGCCACAAGCACUGCCAACAUUGCUCUUCCAGAGGCUGCCACCACCGCUGCCGCCGCCAACGCCACCGCCGCUGCCGCCGCUGCCGCCGCAGCUUCACUACAAGAACAUGCUGCAACCACUGAUUCACCAAAGGGUGCUGGGGCCGCAGCCGCCGCCGCCGCCGCGGCUGCCGCCGCUGCAUCAGCUGCCUCGGCAGCCGCCACCGCUGCUGCCGCCGCUGCAUCAGCUGCCUCGGCAGCCGCCACCGCUGCUGCCGCCGCUGCAUCAGCUGCCUCGGCAGCCGCCACCGCUGCUGCCGCCGCUGCAUCAGCUGCCUCAGCUCCCUUGGCUGCCGCCACCGCCGCUGCAUCAGCUGCCUCAGCUGCCUCAGCUGCCUCAGCUCCCUCGGCUGCCGCCACCGCCGCUGCAUCAGCUCCCUCGGCUCCCUCGGCUCCCUCGGCUGCCUCGGCUGCCACCACCGCCGCUGCAUCAGCUCCCUCGGCUCCCUCGGCUGCCUCGGCUGCCACCACCGCCGCUGCCUCGGCUGCCUCGGCUCCCUCGGCUGCCUCAGCUGCUGCCGCCACCGCUGCUUCCUGUACCCGCCACAGUGGUCCAUCACGGAUGACUGUAUGGAGAAGAAAGAAGGCAAAACAGGAGGAUGCAGAAGCCUUAAAAAAGGAGGAAGGGCGCCAACAACAGCCCCAAGAGGAGCCCCAAGAGGAGCCCCAAGAAGAGCGCCAAAACCAAUGCCGACAUUGUGGACUUCCCAGGACCCUGUUGAAGGGGCAUGCCUUUUACAAAGGGCAUUUCUACUGCACACACACUGCAGGGCCUGGGGCAAAGUCUGCCAAUGAGUGGCUGAAGGAGCAGGAAGAAAAGGAAUCACCAAAAAUUCCCAGGACAACUGCCUUCACCAUGAAGAAAAAGUGGGAGAAUGAGCAUAGUUUCAAACCUCCAGAAAACAAAAGGAAGCGGAAUAAACUUAGAAUCUGCCAGCUGUGUGGCCUGCCAAAGCAGAAAGAUUAUGGCCACAGCCAGCACCAGUCUGAACACUUUUGUGCUCUUUACGCUGGCAAAUCUGUAGAGUUGUGGCUGGCAGAGAGGAGGUGUAUGGAGUGACCCACCACAAUAUCACUUGUGUCAUUAUGUUGUGUGUGUGUGUAAUAAAAAUAUGUUACCUCUAAGUUUUUUUGGUAAU
rnacentral:lncRNA from 1 species